UACGUAGGGCGCAAGCGUUGUCCGGAAUUAUUGGGCGUAAAGAGCUCGUAGGCGGCUUGUCACGUCGAUUGUGAAAGCCCGAGGCUUAACCUCGGGUCUGCAGUCGAUACGGGCUAGCUAGAGUGUGGUAGGGGAGAUCGGAAUUCCUGGUGUAGCGGUGAAAUGCGCAGAUAUCAGGAGGAACACCGAUGGCGAAGGCAGGUCUCUGGGCCGAUACUGACGCUGAGGAGCGAAAGCGUGGGGAGCGAACAGG
rnacentral:rRNA from 1 species